UAUCCACAGGUUCAACUAUCCAGGGCUUGAAACUAUCUUUUUAAACUCCAAAAAGCAAAACUUGAUUUUGCCAUUUUAUAUAAGGGACACCAAUUUACUGCCAUUGUAUAAAAUGAAAUGUAAGCAUCCAUGGGUUUUGAUAUACAUGGGAAAUUCUGUAAUUGAACCUCAGCAGAUGACAAGGGUUGACUGUUUUCUUAUAUUUCAUUUAAUACAUAUUUUUAAAAUUCGAGUGUCUCACAUGGAAGUUCCACAAUGCUGCCACUGAUUAAGUCUUUAUCUGUUUAACUUGAAGACUCCUAUAAUGUCAUCUUUUCUUUGAUUUAUUAAACUUUUUAAUAAUAAUAAGUUUGAAACUUGCAAAUACUCAAGAUAUCCAAUUUAAAUAAGUAAUGAAGCUAGAAAUGAAGGCAGAAAUUGCAGUAGCAUGACUGGAGCAACUGAAUACGGUCAAUUAAUCUUGGAAGGAGGAGUACACAACAACGGUUACGCGGCAACAGACUUGAUCUUCGGUCCAAUGAACACUGCCUUGAAUGCAAGCCCAACAUUUCUAAGUGGAUUUGUGACUGCAACCUCAGAAAGUGGUCUACAAACAUAAUGCACAGAUUCCUUUAUGUUUCUUGACGGCUUUCAGUUCAGCUUGAAGCAGCCUUUUGUGAAGCUUCCAGUAUAUCCGGGAUUCAUGUGCAAGUCCUUCAAUGUUAACUGUCUUGCCAAGACCUUGCCUCAAGAUGUCUUCAUUCAGACAGACACUGGAAAAUCUACCCUGUUUGGAAGAACAUUGAAAGCAUUGCUGUGUGUGUCCUUUACGAGAAUGAAAGUACAAUCCACAGUGAAUAAGCUGAAAUUAUUCAUUGUAUCCACAUCUCAAGGAAAAUGACCUUUUGAGAAAUUUGCUGGGUCUGCCAGGCAAUUCUAUGGUAUGCUUUCCCUCGAAAUUACCAAACAGUCACACUGCAGGACCUAGCAAAUUCCCAGAGAGGAUACCACCCUAAGAAUUUCUAAGUCUCCCAGUGCAAUUCUAUGGUCUGCUGGAACUGGAAGUCAGAUGAUUUAAUAGCAUUUCAGAUAUAUCUCUGGUUUCAGGUAACUCUAGCCCAGCAGAUAUGGAGGUCUUAACUGUGGUAAAGAAAAAGACUGCAAUCCUAAAGUUAACCUAGUGGGACCUACAGAGUAAACAUGCUUAGAAUCUGGAUUCCCACUUUCCCCUGCAUUAUUUACCUUUUUGAUCACCACAAGGCAAUGAAGCACUGAGUCCUUCCUUUCCAGAAGUUGGAACCACAUCAUUUGUGAGGGUUUUAUUUCACUUUUCAACCAGAUCGUGCCACCUGGUGCCAGCUCGACACCAGCAAGCCUGACCAGCAACAAUCCGUCUGCAUGCCCUAGGGACACAUGCAUAAUAACAUUUUGUUUUGUGACGUUAUCAGAACAAUAUUAUUGACUUUCUUAUUCAAUUUAAGCAGUGUAGAGCAACUGGAGUUCUAUGCUACUUUGAAAUAAAUGACUAAAUUUAA